UAUUUGGAGACCUUCGGGUGGAAGAAUAACAGACUGAGUGGCGGACGGGUGAGUAACGCGUGGGUAACCUACCUUGCACAGGGGGACAACAGUUGGAAACGACUGCUAAUACCGCAUAAGACCACAGUACCGCAUGGUACAGGGGUAAAAACUGAGGUGGUGCAAGAUGGACCCGCGUCUGAUUAGCUAGUUGGUGGGGUAAAGGCCUACCAAGGCGACGAUCAGUAGCCGACCUGAGAGGGUGAUCGGCCACAUUGGGACUGAGACACGGCCCAAACUCCUACGGGAGGCAGCAGUGGGGAAUAUUGGACAAUGGGGGGAACCCUGAUCCAGCGACGCCGCGUGAGUGAAGAAGUAUUUCGGUAUGUAAAGCUCUAUCAGCAGGGAAGAAAAUGACGGUACCUGACUAAGAAGCCCCGGCUAACUACGUGCCAGCAGCCGCGGUAAUACGUAGGGGGCAAGCGUUAUCCGGAUUUACUGGGUGUAAAGGGAGCGCAGACGGCUUGGCAAGUCUGAAGUGAAAGCCCGGGGCUUAACCCCGGGACUGCUUUGGAAACUGUGAAGCUAGAGUGUCGGAGAGGUAAGUGGAAUUCCCAGUGUAGCGGUGAAAUGCGUAGAUAUUGGGAGGAACACCGGUGGCGAAGGCGGCUUACUGGACGAUAACUGACGUUGAGGCUCGAAGGCGUGGGGAGCAAACAGGAUUAGAUACCCUGGUAGUCCACGCGGUAAGCGAUGAAUACUAGGUGUCGGGGGACAUAGUCUUUCGGUGCC
rnacentral:rRNA from 1 species